UACGUAGGGGGCUAGCGUUGUCCGGAUUUAUUGGGCGUAAAGAGCGUGUAGGCGGCCAGGUAGGUCUGCUGUGAAAGUCAAAGGCUCAACCUUUGAAUGUCAGCGGAUACUGCCGGGCUAGAGUCCGGAAGAGGCGAGUGGAACUCCUGGUGUAGCGGUGGAAUGCGCAGAUAUCAGGAAGAACACCAGCGGCGAAGGCAGCUCGCUGGGACGGAACUGACGCUGAGGCGCGAAAGCGUGGGGAGCGAACAGG
rnacentral:rRNA from 1 species